UAGAGCAGUUACGGCGUAGGCACCGGUUCGUGGCCGGUCUACGUUGGGGGGAAGUCCGGUGAGAAUCCGGCACAGUCGCGCUGCGGUGUGUCCUCCUAUAGAGGAUGAGUCCGAAUGCCCACCUACGCUGCAUCACUAGG
rnacentral:ncRNA from 2 species